GUGCUCACUUCAGCACAUACACUAAAAUUGGAACAGUACAGAGAAGAUUAGCAUCUCCCCUGUCAAAGAAUGAUAUACAAAUUCAUGAAGUGUUUCAUGGUUUU